rnacentral:rRNA from 1 species
UACGUAGGGGGCAAGCGUUGUCCGGAUUUAUUGGGCGUAAAGAGCGUGUAGGCGGCCAUACAGGUCAGCUGUGAAAACUCGAGGCUCAACCUCGAGACGUCGGUUGAAACCGUAUGGCUAGAGUCCGGAAGAGGAGAGUGGAAUUCCCGGUGUAGCGGUGAAAUGCGCAGAUAUCGGGAAGAACACCCGUGGCGAAAGCGGCGCACUGGACCACAACUGACGCUGAGGCGCGAAAGCUAGGGGAGCAAACAGG